rnacentral:lncRNA from 1 species
CUUGCAUCUGAGUGAGAUUAAAUAGUAAUGCCUUAAGGUAAGGAGUGAUGUUUCAACUUUUGCUGUUUCUCCUUCACCAGCCUGGGAGCUCCCAUCGACCAUGGCAGUCCUACUUUGACUUGAUCUUGGUGGAUGCACGGAAACCACUCUUUUUUGGAGAAGGCACAGUACUGCGUCAGGUGGAUACUAAAACUGGCAAGCUGAAAAUUGGUACCUACACAGGGCCCCUACAGCAUGGUAUCGUCUACUCAGGAGGUAAGUCACAGACUUCCCUUUAUUUAAUGUCUUUGCUCAGACCUCACAGUGAAAGCUUUGGUAAUCUCUCAGCAAAGUGCCACAUAUACUGUUUAGUAGUCUAAGAUGUCAUCUACUGAAGGUAAAUAGUUUAGUCACCUCUUAAUGCAAUAGGAGUCUGGGUUUGAGCAGUUGUUAGUAUAUCCUAAUGAAUCUGAUUUUCACUAAAAUGAUCAGUUUUUUUUUUAAAUCCUAUUGGAG